AUUGAACGCUGGCGGCAUGCCUUACACAUGCAAGUCGAACGGUAACAGGUCUUCGGAUGCUGACGAGUGGCGAACGGGUGAGUAAUACAUCGGAACGUGCCCGAUCGUGGGGGAUAACGGAGCGAAAGCUUUGCUAAUACCGCAUACGAUCUACGGAUGAAAGCAGGGGACCGCAAGGCCUUGCGCGGACGGAGCGGCCGAUGGCAGAUUAGGUAGUUGGUGGGAUAAAAGCUUACCAAGCCGACGAUCUGUAGCUGGUCUGAGAGGACGACCAGCCACACUGGGACUGAGACACGGCCCAGACUCCUACGGGAGGCAGCAGUGGGGAAUUUUGGACAAUGGGCGAAAGCCUGAUCCAGCCAUGCCGCGUGCAGGAUGAAGGCCUUCGGGUCGUAAACUGCUUUUGUACGGAACGAAAAGACUCUUUCUAAUAAAGAGGGUCCAUGACGGUACCGGAAGAAUAAGCACCGGCUAACUACGUG
rnacentral:rRNA from 1 species